CAAUGAUUGAAUCUUCAGUCAAGUGUCAAAGGUUUUGUUUCUUGUAAUUCACUAUACAAAGGGUAAUUAUAGCGCUUAGUUAACUGCUAAGAUACCAAUCCUACCUUAGUCAGUCUGCAUUGUAUUAAUGUGAGCAAUGUGUGCUGGAUAUAGGGUUUCCAUAUCCAGUGUUUACAGCAUAUAAUCGCAUACUCAUUAUAGGGCAGUACUUAUCAUGUACUGCUCAACCUGAUGUCAUAGUUGCAAGACACAAGUGCACUAGCUUUGCAGCACAAUGGGUUUUGCUUAUUGCAGGGAGCACUUUUCCUGUGCUGUGAUUUAACAUGAAGUAUGUUCAGUAAAAAAAUGGCAAUUUCAAGCAGAGGUUUGGACUAAUACAGUACAGAAUGACCCACGGCUACUGCAGUGUUGUGAUAUCAACCAUUUUAAGGGGCAUAUAUAAAUUCUACAUAUCCAGCCAGUAUUCAGAAACAAUCGGAGAGAAGGAAAGCUCUGACCUUUGGGAUUCCCCUUGAUAACAUUUUUUUUUUUUUUUUAGCUGACAUAGAUUCACAGUCAAUAUUUUUAGGCUUGUGUAAAAGAACACGAGUAGAACUAUUUUACAAGGGUGUCAUUAUACUUUCUGGUUUCCUGUUCUCUUACUCUGGCAUUUCCUGCAGACUACAGAACCACGACUGACCUUGGGUUAGGGAACCUAAAGUAUCUAAAGUAAUUUGAGAAAGAUACCGUGUCCUGACAUGAAAUAUAGCUUUCAGGUUAAAGGUGCUAAAGUAUGGAAAUGAUGGAAAUAAGGCAAAUGUAACAAAAGGUUGUCCUGUACCUUCCAGGUAGUGUUUCCCCAGGCGCACGUCACAUAUGACAUGUAAGUUCCAUAUACUGCAUGAUUCCUUGGCACCAUAACUACUACAGCAUACUGUAGCAAUUAUGGUGGCAGGAGUCCCUAGGCACCAGCCACUGGUAAUCUGUCAGACAGUUUAUGAAUGGUUUGGCACGUGCCUUGUUGUGUCCAACACCAGUGGCC